rnacentral:lncRNA from 1 species
GAUGUAUGAAGAAGAAAAGUCAGCCCCAACAUGUAAAAAUGAAGAGAGGAAGGAUGUGGGCUGCAAAAGGAGCGGGGAAAGGACUUGGUGGGACACUGGAAAUGCUUGCUUCGUGGAGACAAGAUUCUUUCUCAGAGUCCCUAAACAAAUUGCUGGAAAGAACACACAGAGGAGGCAUGUUAAUGCAGUUCUGUGGCUUUGUUCUACAAUCAAGGCCGGAUGGAGUGUUUGCGCAGUGAAAUCUCUUGGAACAAAAUGUGAUCGCUCUUGCAACCGUUUUGCCCCAAAGCACAUUCAUAAGCCGUUCCAAUUUGGCUUCUGGAUCACAAAUUCUAUCUUCAAAUGAUGAGUAAAACAUUUCUUCUUCCUUUUAGAUAAGUUUGAAUGCACUCACUUCUGCUUUAUUUUUUUCUGCUUGAAAAUCAUGCCUUUUAAAAGUUUCAGAAAAGAAAAGUUUCAGAAAAUGAAAAGUUUCAGAAAGAAAAUCCUAAUUCAUGCUAUACUGGACUAAAUAUUAAUAUUAAUACCAGUAAGAAGGCUGGAAGAAAUCUAGUCUUCGUUGGCCAUGAGAAG